rnacentral:rRNA from 1 species
AAAAAGCUCGUAGUUGGAUUUCUGUUGAGGACGACCGGUCCGUACCAUGUACGCGCAUCUGGUUCGGCCUCGGCAUCCUCACGAUAGACGUUUCUGCGCUUGAUUGCGUGGAGCGGAUUUCGGGACUUUUACUUUGAGGAAAUUAGAGUGUUCACGGCAGGCUAUCGCCAGAAUACAUUAGCAUGGAAUAAUAUUAUAGGAUCUCAGUUCUAUUUUGUUGGUUUCUAGACCUGGGGUAUGAUUAAUAGGGACAAUUGGGGGCAUUUGUAUCAACACGUCAGAGGUGGAAUUCUUGGAUUGUGUUGCGACAAACUACUGCGAAAGCAUUUGCCAAGGAUGUUUUCAUUGAUCAAGAACGAAAGUAAGGGGAUCGAAGACGAUUAGAUACCGUCGUAGUCUUUACCAUAAACUAUGCCGACUAAGAGAUGGGGCAUCGUUCACUUACGACUUGCUCCGCAUCUUAUGAGAUAUCAAAAGUCUUUGGGUUCCGGGGGGAGUAUGGUCGCAAGGCUGAAACUUAAAGGAAUUGACGGAAGGGCACCACCAAGGUGUGGAGCCUGCGGCCUUAAUUUUGACUC